rnacentral:piRNA from 1 species
CGAGUGCAUAUCUAAUGACUUCUUUUGUG